rnacentral:pre_miRNA from 1 species
UGCGCCACGUUGGGCCGCAUCAGUCGCGCCACGUUAUGAAACCGAACUCCAUGUGACUGAUGCAGGCUGACGUGAUGUGU